rnacentral:rRNA from 1 species
CGUAGGGUGCGAGCGUUAAUCGGAAUUACUGGGCGUAAAGCGUGCGCAGGCGGUUUUGUAAGACAGGCGUGAAAUCCCCGGGCUCAACCUGGGAACUGCGCUUGUGACUGCAAGGCUAGAGUACGGCAGAGGGGGGUGGAAUUCCACGUGUAGCAGUGGAAUGCGUAGAGAUGUGGAGGAACACCAAUGGCGAAGGCAGCCCCCUGGGUCGAUACUGACGCUCAUGCACGAAAGCGUGGGUAGCAAACAGGAUUAGAUACCCUGGUAGUCCACGCCCUAAACGAUGUCAACUAGGUGUUGGGUGGGUAAAACCAUUUAGUACCGGAGCUAACGCGUGAAGUUGACCGCCUGGGGAGUACGGCCGCAAGGUUA